ensembl:rRNA 5S_rRNA 5S ribosomal RNA
CUCACCGGCCACUUUAUUAGGUACACCCUGCAGCCCAAGAACGGUUACUCACUGAAGCUAAGCAGGGCUGAGCCUGGUUAGUACCUGGAUGGGAGACCACUAGGGAACACCAGGUUGCUGUUGGAA